UGAAUUGGGUUUCAAAAGAAAGAAAUAAAAGGGUAGUUGGGCUUUUGGGCUCUUGGGCCGUGGACUUCGUGGUGGCUGGUGGAUUAAAAUAACAAAAUGAAAUGGGCUUUGUAAAAAGAAAGGAAAAUCAAUUAAACAGUGGCAGAAUGGGUGAGAAAAGGAGCAGCGACGGCACUGUGGAGAAGUUGCAUCUCGCCAGAACUUUGACUGACCAUUUGGGUGGCCAAACGACCUCCAUUUCGGCUCAAAUUUUAAGGAGGUGCUCUACUCGACGAGAGGAACAAUCCUACGGUGGCCGAUCGUGUUUUUAACGAUUGAAUUAUUAGAUCUGUGAUGCAGAUAUCACUCCUGAGGAUCUACAGGUAGGGCAGGGAGGACUUCAAAAUGCUCCUGGAGUGGCCUAGUGGAGUGUGACAUUUUUUUUAUUGUGUUUUUUGGAUUUUUGGAUUUGUUUUAGUAAUUAUGAAUUAUGGAUUUGUAAUGAAACUUUAUUUUGAUUAAGUUGUCUAAUUGUGAACUUUUAUUUUUGGACUAUAAUGAAUAUUCAUUAAACCUUGUUGUUUUGAGUAA